rfam:Candidatus Burkholderia humilis strain TZHbot5 BHTMctg119, whole genome shotgun sequence.
AAAGUUCUUUACGAUGAAGAACUAGCGAUUCACAUCGACCCCGAGUCAUGCGGUGGCACUCGCGAGGGUGUCACCGAAGUUUCCGACUGGCGCUGGGCGCUUCGCUCCUGCUCCCGCUCUUGUAGGUGCUGAUCUAGGUCC